rnacentral:rRNA from 1 species
AUUGAACGCUGGCGGCAGGCCUAACACAUGCAAGUCGAACGAGUGGCGGACGGGUGAGUAAUGUCUGGGAAACUGCCUGAUGGAGGGGGAUAACUACUGGAAACGGUAGCUAAUACCGCAUACAAUCAGAUGUGCCCAGAUGGGAUUAGCUUGUUGGUGGGGUAACGGCGCACCAAGGCUGCGAUCCCUAGCUGGUAUGAGAGGAUGACCAGCCACGCCGUAAUGGAGACACGGGCCAGACUCCGACGCGAGGCAGCAGUGUGGAAUAUUGCAUGAGGGGCUCAAGCCUGAUGCAGCCAUGCCGCGUGUAUGAAGAAGGCCUUCGGGUUUUAAAGUACUUUCAGCGGGGAGGCGUUACCCGCAGACGAAGCACCGGCUAACUCCGUGCCAGCAGCCGCGGUAAUAC